rnacentral:rRNA from 1 species
UACGAAGGGGGCUAGCGUUGCUCGGAAUCACUGGGCGUAAAGGGAGCGUAGGCGGGUCUUUAAGUCAGGGGUGAAAUCCUGGAGCUCAACUCCAGAACUGCCUUUGAUACUGAGGAUCUUGAGUUCGGGAGAGGUGAGUGGAACUGCGAGUGUAGAGGUGAAAUUCGUAGAUAUUCGCAAGAACACCAGUGGCAAAGGCGGCUCACUGGCCCGAUACUGACGCUGAGGCACGAAAGCGUGGGGAGCAAACAGG